CCUACGGGUGGCAGCAGUGAGGAAUAUUGGUCAAUGGGCGCGAGCCUGAACCAGCCAAGUCGCGUGAGGGAGGACGGCCCUACGGGUUGUAAACCUCUUUUGCCGGGGAGCAACGGGCGCCACGUGUGGCGUCACUGAGAGUACCCGGAGAAAAAGCAUCGGCUAACUCCGUCCCAGCAGCCGCGGUAAUACGGGGGUCGCGAGCGUUAUCCGGAUUUAUUGGGUUUAAGGGGUGCGUAGGCGGAUGGUUAAGUCAGUGGUCAAAUUGAGGGGCUCAACCCCUUCCCGCCAUUGAAACUGGCGUUCUUGAGUGGAGGAGAGGUAUGCGGAAUGCGUGGUGUAGCGGUGAAAUGCAUAGAUAUCACGCAGAACCCCGAUUGCGAAGGCAGCAUGCCGGCUUCCGACUGACGCUGAAGCACGAAAGCGUGGGGAUCGAACAGGAUUAGAUACCCGUGUAGUC
rnacentral:rRNA from 1 species